CGGGAGGGAGGGAAGGAGCGAGGCGCCGCGCUGACGGGACGUGGGGUGACAGCAGGGGGGGACGGGGCUUUCUGCCGGGCCGUGGCAUCGUCCCGGGGAAUCGUCAAAAGGCGAGCCCGGCCGAGACACAAAGGAGGCAGAAAAAGGGUUUUUCAGCGGCGCUGGCAAAAAGGAGCGAGAAGGUCCCGCUGCGCAGCCGGGAGAGAGCGGGGAGGGUGAGCCAGGCGCCGCCUUAAGCCUCCAUUUGCUUCGAGGAAGCGUUUGGCUCCGGGGCAAAGCGGCAUGGCCGAAGGUUUUUGACUUUUUCAUACACUGGCUUGACUUGAAAGAAGAGGUUGGUCUGAGAACAGGUGUGCCCUCCACCUCAGGCUGACGGUGGGCAUUGCUCUCCUGCCCCUGCUUCCCCUGGCGGCACAGCUUCGCUCCCCAUCACAGGUACUGGAUAUGAGCUCACGGUGACCACUUCAGUGUCAAAGCCAGCAGGAUUUUACCAAGAAUGAAGUUGCACAAUACACAGGGCAGUCGACUACACAUGAAAUAACUGUCAAGAAUGAACAGAAAUUCGUAUCGUGACAAGGAUCUAUUGCCUGAAAACGGGAUAUUCAUAUGCAAGUUACUUGGAAGUACUGGAUACCUCACAUGAUAAUGUUUUGAGUCUUCAAGAUACUAACCACCUGAACUUUUUAGCAAUUUCAAGCAAGAAACUGGUGAGCUGGAUUCAGUUGUCCCUAUGUUUCUGUAGGGACAGCUGUUGUAUGGAUAAGGCAUUUUUUCUGUACAAGAAAAGCAGAUUUUACACACUGGGCUGAAGGAGUACAUUUAAAACUGCAGAACAGAGUUCUGCAAUCAAUUCCCUGCAGUUCAUGAAAACCACCAGAUGAAAGAUGAGGAACAGGUAUUUUUUGGAAGUUUUCAGCAACCAAAUCUCUAGGUCAGAGAUAAAUUUUGCUUCUUCUACAUAAAAAGUUAAACCUGCAGGGUCUGUAUUUUUUUUUCCUUUUUAAACUACACCGAUUUCACCUUCAAAAGAGGAAGAGGGUGUUUCCAUUUUUAGUCUGAAAUUCUUUGAAGUAUUCCUGUUCCAUAGAACAGGGAUCUGGAUAGAAUUUGACAAAAAAUUAAUUCCUUAUUUUAGGUUCGGUUUCAGCAAUAAAGAAGUUAAUGAGAUCACAUCUGUUUUUGUCCCGUUAUACUCUAUAGCAGUCCACUGGAAACAGCACCAUUUGCCUAUAGCUUUUUCUUUUAUCCUGAACAGAGACUAACCCAGUCUAAACACUGUUUUUAAACACAUCCAUAGCAAGACUGCACAUGAACCAAUUAGCAACCAUUGUGAUGUUACCUACCCAUAGCUACAAUUAAGAGUUGCAGUUUCACAACAGCAGCUAGUGUCUAAGGCAGACCUUUAAAAUGUUUUCUUUGGCAUAGGGCAGAAUGGAGAAACAUCUCCAAAAACUACCAAAAACUUAACUCCACAAGUAAAAUUUGAAUAUUGGUACAUCUGGAACAGCUGGGUAACAAGUUGUGCGUGUCGACUUCAGAAAGCAGCUGCUUUUAGCCUUCAUUUUGGGCCAGAUAUUUGCUUUCAGCCACCAGUAUAUUCUAUUUUAUUUCAUAGCAGCUUCUUCAGUGUUCCCAUAUGGACAAGCUAAGCAGCUCCAAGGAUAUAACUGCAAGUAUAUAUAGUGCUUUUUAGAAGAAAUAGAGGCCAGAUGUUGCUUUUUUAUCUUCAUGUGCGUACAUCCCUUAAAAAAGUUAAAUUGUUUCACAUAUAGUAUUAAAGCCAGGUAUAGGCAAUUUGCUCAUAGGCCAUUUAAAUGUCAACUUUCUAAAAGACGGAAAAUAACAUUUUAACCUACAAUUCAAACUGAAAUAAAAUGAGACUACCCUACAAUAACUUCAUAAAAUAAAUACAGCAGAAUCCAGGAUCACAGGGACAAAAGAAAAGGCAUGGUGACCCAUUUCUGAGAUCUGAAUGAGCACUAUUUAUGUUUUUAUUAGAAAAGAAGGAAGUUACCUUAUUGUUACAAUACAGUUACAAGUUUGAUGUAAAAGCUAUCCAGCACCACCACUGAUUAAAGACCUUUCACUCUGCUGCUUUACACCCCCAGGAUAUAACCUAACCCAUCCAUCCAAACACUAGAGAAUUUAGUACAUCUGUUACUACCACUGUAAUCAAUCCAUUAACAUCUCUCACGUAUGUACUCCUGGUUACUACACCUCAUGGAUCCAACAGGGUGGGUAGUAAUUCCUUCUCAGACUGUCCAAGAAAAGUAACUUAGAUAAAAAGCAAACUGGUUUUAAUUUCCCUGAUUUUCUGAAAAUAGGGCAUUAUUGUAUUAAUUUUAUGACAGAUAUUUGUAAGAAAAUAUUAACCAAUUACUCUCCCCCCCAAUAAUAUUUAUGAGCUCUUUCUCUGUGAGACAGUCCACAACAUACAAAAACUGCCAAGACACCAACUACAACUUUUUGAGUAACGUCACUUUAUUAAGGGACUGAAAAGAAUCACAUUCUCUAGUAGUCUUGGAACAAUGCAAACGGUGAACAAAAGACAAAAAUAGAUGUAAUUGGUUCCGAAAAGCAUGAACAUCUGUAGAGAAUGUGCUGCAUUAUUCCUAAGGACUCUUGCUUUUGAAAAAAAGCACGUUGUUUAUAUACAAGUGUCAGUGCAAUAGCCAAUAAAGCAAUCAGAAAUAUAAAAAUAUCCCAGAUACAAACUUAAAAUAAAUGUUUGAAAGCUGACAAUAUCAUAUUGUCAGUAUUCUGAUAUUUCUAUAUAUCUGGAAGGAGUAUGAUCACUGGGAUGAGUUAUUCUGAUGAGGCAAGAGACAUUAGAUGCUCUGUGAUAACACAAAGCCAUUAAUCUUUUCAGUGAGACAAAAAUAGAGCACCCAAUGAAGCUGCAAGUUUUUGCUGCAAGUGCCCACAGGAAGUGAAAUUAUGGUCUGUGAGCAGUACUACAUUCCUGCACCAUUUACGUUUGCCAUCUUUGCCAACAGUUGUACCAGCAAAAACUUGCAAAUUCUCCCACCCUUCCCCAACUUCAGUAUAAACUGUACAUACUGUGCAGAUAUUCCAAACUGACAACUGCUUUAAACAUAGACAAGAUCUAUAAAUGUCCAAAAACCACUUAGUCAUUCUUUCCUUUAUUGGUUGCAUUUUUUUUUUUUUUGGCAGCAAAGUCAGGAAGAGAUUGCAAAGCUUGACAGCUGAACAGCUCUCUCUAUAAGAAGGAGAGAACAGGGUGUGUAGUAUUUGUUUUGCCCCAGGUGUUUCAGUGAUGACACUGAACUUAAACCUCAGCUGGCUGAGCUAUAAAAAUCACAUUCCUCUUGUUUGCUCUGCAUUUUGGAUGGAAGGAUGCACUAAUCUGGGCCUACUGUUCCAAAAAAGGAGGAAAGGCUAUUUGGUCAAACUUUCAGCUAGAUACUGUCUGCCUACAUCAUGAUUCAUCUUCUUUCUUUCAGCCACUUCUUUCACUAUGACCCUCCAAGCUCUGCUGCUAAAUUCUGCCUCCUAGUUCUUCACUUUUCAGAGAAAAAGGCAAAAUGACAGGUAGACAGCACACUGUGUCCUUUGUGGCAAAGAACCCCAGGAAGAACUGACAGCAGAGCAGGGAGUGGCAGAAGAGUACAAUGAAUACAACCUCCUUUUUAAGGUGGUAAUGAGGAUUUAAUUUCAAACUGUGUGUCAAUCUCAGGCAUUCUUCUUUGGAAAACACUGAAUUAUAUAGUCUCUAGUACAUCAAGAUUAACUCAAACAGGAUAUGAUUUGUAUGAUAAAAAAAGCACAACGAGAGCUGGCAGUUGCAUUCUUAUGAAACUUUCCUUACCACUUAUGGCACACACAUGCAUUGAAGCACACAGCAGUUGCUGGAAUCUUUAAAAGAUUUCUUAGCUUUACAUCCUAGACUCAAAAGCUUUCCUUUUAUAUCUUCGCAUUUUUCAUCAUUCUUUUCUAAACCUCUUGUCUCAGGCAAAUUCAGACAGCUGUGCAAGAUGGAAAACUGAAGCUAGCAACAUCUGUAGUGUGAUGACACUUGACAAAUGAUUUCAGGUUUUCUUUCGUUUUCUGGAAGAUGCUUUGCAGAUGUCAAAGCCUCAAUGAAUCAUCAUACAUCUCUCCUUAACCCUACUGAAUGUGGCAUUCAACAUUUCCAAAUAUUGAAUUACUGCUCACCACACCCCAGCAAGACAGGCUAUUACGUCUCAAGUAAACAGGCAGGAAAUGGAGG